GUGCCCAUUUGGUAGCACAUAUACUAAAACUGGAAUGAUACAGAGGCUACCAUGGCCCCCACGCAAGGACGGCAUGCAAAUUCACUAAGGGGUCCAUGUUUUU